UACGUAGGGUGCGAGCGUUGUCCGGAAUUAUUGGGCGUAAAGAGCUCGUAGGCGGUUUGUCGCGUCUGCUGUGAAAACUCGGGGCUUAACCUCGGGCCUGCAGUGGGUACGGGCAGACUAGAGUGCGGUAGGGGAGACUGGAAUUCCUGGUGUAGCGGUGAAAUGCGCAGAUAUCAGGAGGAACACCGGUGGCGAAGGCGGGUCUCUGGGCCGUAACUGACGCUGAGGAGCGAAAGCGUGGGGAGCGAACAGG
rnacentral:rRNA from 1 species